UACGUAGGGGGCUAGCGUUGUUCGGAAUUACUGGGCGUAAAGCGCGCGUAGGCGGUCUUCCAAGUCAGUGGUGAAAGCCCGGAGCUCAACUCCGGAACUGCCAUUGAAACUGUAAGACUUGAGGAUGAGAGAGGUGAGUGGAAUUCCCAGUGUAGAGGUGAAAUUCGUAGAUAUUGGGAAGAACACCGGUGGCGAAGGCGGCUCACUGGCUCAUAUCUGACGCUCAGGCGCGACAGCGUGGGGAUCAAACAGG
rnacentral:rRNA from 1 species